UACGAGCGGUCCAAGCGUUAGUCGGAAUCACUGGGCUUAAAGGGUGCGUAGGCGGGCUUGUAAGUGUUUUGUGAAAUCCCACGGCUCAACCGUGGAAUCGCAGGGCAUACUGCAAGCCUCGAGGAAGCUAGAGGCCGGUGGAACGAUAGGUGGAGCGGUGGAAUGCGCAGAUAUCAGGAAGAACACCCGUGGCGAAGGCGGCGCUCUGGGACGGUACUGACGCUGAGACGCGAAAGCGUGGGGAGCGAACAGG
rnacentral:rRNA from 1 species